UGAGUAACCUGCCCUUCACUCUGGGAUAACUCCGGGAAACCGGGGCUAAUACUGGAUAUGACUCGAACAGGCAUCUGUUUCGGGUGGAAAGAUUUAUUGGUGGAGGAUGGACUCGCGGCCUAGCAGCUUGUUGGUGAGGUAAUGGCUCACCAAGGCGACGACGGGUAGCCGGCCUGAGAGGGUGUCCGGCCACACUGGGACUGGGAUACGGCCCAGACUCCUACGGGAGGCA
rnacentral:rRNA from 1 species